rnacentral:rRNA from 1 species
UACGUAGGGACCAAGCGUUGUUCGGAUUUACUGGGCGUAAAGGGUGCGUAGGUGGGCCCGUAAGUCAGUGGUGAAAUCUCCGAGCUUAACUCGGAAACUGCCAUUGAUACUAUAGGUCUUGAAUUAUCUGGAGGUUAGCGGAAUAUGUCAUGUAGCGGUGAAAUGCUUAGAUAUGACAUAGAACACCGAUUGCGAAGGCAGCUGGCUACAGGUAUAUUGACACUGAGGCACGAAAGCGUGGGGAUCAAACAGG